rnacentral:rRNA from 1 species
AACGAACGCUGGCGGCAUGCCUAACACAUGCAAGUCGAACGAGAUCUUCGGGUCUAGUGGCGCACGGGUGCGUAACGCGUGGGAAUCUGCCCUUUGGUUCGGAAUAACAGUUGGACACGACUGCUAAUACCGGAUGAUGACGAAAGUCCAAAGAUUUAUCGCGAGAGGAUGAGCCCGCGUAGGAUUAGCUAGUUGGUGUGGUAAAGGAGCACCAAGGCGACGAUCCUUAGCUGGUCUGGGAGGAUGAUCAGCCACACUGGGACUGAGACACGGCCCAGACUCCUACGGGAGGCAGCAGUGGGGAAUAUUGGACAAUGGGCGAAAGCCUGAUCCAGCAAUGCCGCGUGAGUGAUGAAGGCCUUAGGGUUGUAAAGCUCUUUUACCCGGGAUGAUAAUGACAGUACCGGGAGAAUAAGCUCCGGCUAACUCCGUGCCAGCCGCCGCGGUAA